GGCGAAGUAAGUUGAAUUGGGCGAAGUCAGUCGGUAGAACGUGAGACUCUUAAUCUCAGGGUUGUGGGUUUGAGCCUCACGUUGGGCA